CGCCUCCUCCUCCUGCUCCACCAUUUGCCUGCCAUUUGAAUUUAGCGAAGAAAACGACGUCUGCCUCGGAGGUGGCUACUGGCAAUGGAGAUCGGUGUUGUGGAUCCCUGUUUUUUUUUCGUGCCGAUUUGUGUGCAAUUUCCUGAGGUGGUGUAAGGUUUUGUUGGGGGUUUGAAGUUAUUGUGGUGAGGAGGAGAUUUGGGUCUUGUAGGGUAAAAGAGUAGAGUGAUUUUUAAUGAUGCCGGUGGCAUGGCGGUGUGGAGGAGCAGAUUCGUCAGGGUUUGGGUGUGAAGAAGUGUCGUUGGAGAGAGCGUGUGCGAAGGAGGCGGACACAGCCUGGUAGAAGUGUGUUUCUGGGAGUUUAAGUGCAGAACACGGAGGCGGGAGAAUGUGCGUGCCGUCGGAUGCGAGAACCUGCAUCUGCGCCGUGAGCUGCCGGAGAUGUUUGGACAUUUGGGAGCUUGUUCUUAGCUGUGGUGGACGGUUGAUUGUGUUGGUUUUUUCAAUGACCUCAGACAAAGAUGCAGCAAAUUUCUCGAUCAUUGUUUCUUCGACCAAGCUGCAUGAUUUUGAAAAAAUCGCUAGUUGACACUGAAAUACCGGUUGAUUUUGAAUUCUGGUCGGCCAUUAGACAGAGUGUUUCGUCAGCUGCUGCAAUUUCGGCUCUACCGUCGUCUUGCCACCUUUCGACGGGGCAUCUUAACUGAAAGAUCUAUGUACGCACAAGUUGGUUGACUUUUUGUGAAUUGGAGGUGCCGGCGGAGCUUUUCAUGGAACCGCUCUGAGGGAGCACCUGAACGCCAAAGCAGCGGAUACGUACCUGUGUGUUCAUGUUCAUGGUAAGAUACCUUCAUUCAGGUGGAAGCUCAUUACUCUUAUCUUAGCAAUUCAUUUCCUCUGGCUUUUCCCCAAUUGCUCUUGAACACACAAUGCUGAUACCUCCUUUUGCACUAUCCAUUAUUAUCGUUGUGUUUCCUUCACUCCAAUUAUUGUGCAGAUCAACCACACAAAGUCCGAUAGCCACACUGGAUAGCCCACCUAGACAUUGUCAAGUGCCCGACAGGUUGGUCGAUGAGGUCCUCCACGUUGUGUGCUGUGAUCAUCUGUGUCAUGUCUUCAAUGUGACGGCAAACCCGCGUGAACUUUCAUCGAAUCUAAUUUGAUGCAGAUCUCCCGUGACAAAUCACUGUGAAUCACGGCGCACCAUCUCAACAAACUCGCUGAACACGAGAAGGGCUUUUGAUCCUGCAAACUGACUUUUUAAUGUUUUCCCUUCUCGUGCAUCUUUGGAUUCAAAGUCUGAGAAGCAAUAAGCGACUUUUCUCAGAGCUUUGAGCACACACUAGCAGAUCCCCUGGAUGAAGACCUAAUGCGGUUCUAAUUCCGUUGGGAUGAAACUAUUCUGCAUACAUCCUAAGUGGCAAUUUACCUUGAGCUCACUGUAACGUACCCAAUAAUCAAAUGCAAAGAAUGUCACAGCUUUAGCCCAAUCCAUAAAGGUUUCUUGUAUCUUAUCUUCUUUCGAAAGAUUUUCCAAAAUUGCCACUACAAGAUAAGAAACUA